UGGGGAAUAUUGGGCAAUGGGCGAAAGCCUGACCCAGCGACGCCGCGUGAAGGAAGAAGGUCUUCGGAUUGUAAACUUCUUUUAUUAGGGACGAAAACUGACGGUACCUAAUGAAUAAGCCACGGCUAACUACGUGCCAGCAGCCGCGGUAAUACGUAGGUGGCAAGCGUUAUCCGGAUUUACUGGGUGUAAAGGGUGUGUAGGCGGGAUGGCAAGUCAGAUGUGAAAACUAUGGGCUCAACUCAUAGCCUGCAUUUGAAACUGUCGUUCUUGAGGGUCGGAGAGGUAACUGGAAUUCCGUGUGUAGCGGUGAAAUGCGUAGAUAUACGGAGGAACACCAGUGGCGAAGGCGGGUUACUGGACGAUACCUGACGCUGAGACACGAAAGUGUGGGGAGCAAACAGG
rnacentral:rRNA from 2 species